ensembl:snoRNA SNORD36 Small nucleolar RNA SNORD36
UUGCAAUGAUGCAAGCCUUUUGCUGAAUUAGACCUUGAAGUGCAUAUAUACUUGAGCUUUUUAACUCUGAGCAAU